rnacentral:lncRNA from 1 species
ACAUUCACCUCUCCUCUUCUGCUACUUCUUUGUUCUUUCCUGUCACAGAGUACCUUGCUCUCGUUUCCAGAUCUCUAGCUGCCAAACAUCCAGGGAGACCCUUAUCAUAGCUGACCCAAGCUGUUCCUGUCUAGACACACCUAAGAACCUAAAUAGAGCUAUAGGAAGCAGGGCAAAUGAAAAAAAAAUAUUGUUAACAAAUUAUAUAUUUGGGAAUUUCAUAAAUAAAUACUGUAUUUAUGUCAUUUCUUCCUUUCCCCCUCUCUCCUCCAACUCUUACUGUACCCUACUUCCUCUCAAAUUCAUGAUCUCUUCUUUGUUACUGUUAUGCAUAUGUCCAUAUAAAUAAACCUCGAUGGAUCCAUUUAGUAUUGCUUGAGUAUAUGUGCUUAGGGCUGUCCACUUGGAUAAUAUAUCAGAGGCUUUGUUUUGGGGACGAUCAACCAUCAUUACAGAGAUAACAGUCAUUGCUCCCCAACCGAGCAAUUUUCAGAUGCAUAUUUGUCCACCUAGGACUUCCUGUUGACUUUGUUUGAUGUGCAGAGUCCUGACUGCCACUUCAGUUCAUGACUCAGUAAAACUACAGCAACAUCAAAAGUGCAUCUUCAGCUAGGCAUGCCCAGCUGUUCACGUGGACUUAGUUCCCAGACCUCAGGCACACGGGGAAGUGAUGGUUUACCACUUGUUGAGCGAGCUCUUAGAGGCAUAUUGUAGAUGGCCCUGAUGAAGAUCUGUCAUUCUUAUUCUUCUGUCACUUUGACCUUCAACUGUUCUCUGUAUACAUUUUUAUUUAUUGAGAAAUAUAUACAUGUAUAUAACAUACUUUGAUUAUAUCCACUUUUCUCCCCUCUUCUGAUUCCUUCUGGCUUCCCCCCAACCUCCCACUGUCUUUCAGCCUUCAGUAUCUAACUGUAUCCAUAGGAAUCAGAGCUUGACUUUAUACCUGCCAUGCAAGCUUUAUCACUCUUGAGUGUUGGAGCAUGGUAUAAGGCAAAAUCAGCCCCCGAUCCCCACCCAGUUUCUUUAUGUCACAGACUCUCCCUGAAGCUUGCUUCAGCUGCUGAGUGUCUGUGCCCUCACCUUGCUUCCUGAGCAUCAGGCAUGGCUUUGGUCAUGUGACUUCUGCCCAUAUAGCUGCAACAUCCUGCUCUCUGGCCUGUUUCUCCUCCUAAAGAAGUGCAGGAUGCAAUUGAACUCAAUCUUGCUAUUUCCUCUGUCUAUCCCAUGGGUGGCCUUUAAUUCCUCUCUGCCAAGCCCUGAGCUGUGUAAUAAGAGAAAGCAUUCUUUCUCAUGGGAACCCAUUGGAGACCUGAGAUUAUCCAAUGACAUACUUGCUAAUAAAACCUUCAACAACACUGUUGAUAAUCCCCAAUUUAAUAAAAAAUAGAAAAAUAGUUCCUGGUGCCAAGAUAGGUUUAAUGAUUUUCUCUGACUGUGUUUCUGAAUUAAGUGCCUGAAUGAAGAUCCAAGAUAGAUGCCUGGCCCUAGAGACUGGACUUCCCUUUCAGCCAGCUUAGUCUGGUAAUAAUGCUCUAUCGAAAACCCCGAGAGUCUCCAUUGCCAACAUCUCUGAGGUUCAGCUCCAGCCUGUGACAGGAGUGACAGAAGGUGGCCUAUACAGGACAGACACUGAGCGCCCACUAGGAACUCUGAUAUGGGGAGGAAGAGAAUAAAGAUACGACUUGAGAGCUAGAACACAAGAGCAAGGCCAAUUGCUAUUGCUUCCUUCUACCUUUGUUGUGAUUUAUAUGGGGAAAACCAUUGCUAAAUCAUUGUUUAAUGGAUUGAACUCCGAAUCUCUGAGAUAAUAUCUGCAGGUUGACUGGAGGAGUUAAUAUAAAGAUUUUCCUAUGUACGUUUCAUUUAGUUUCCUUUCCUGAAGCGAUGGCAGUUGAGAGACCCAGCUCAGGUGAUGGCCAUUGCACCCUCGGGAAGCAGUCUGCACCAAGACCCCUUGUGUGUGUUGUAGACAAGCAGUGUGGUAUCCAGGGGUCUGGUUAGGGCAGAUCUUAAUUUAUUCACUAAUGAUGUGACAGUGGGUAAGUCUCAUGGCAGCCAUCCAUCACUCUUUGCUUAUUAAAAAUUUUGAGUAUGUGGGAAUGAUAUAGUAAAGACUAUCAUGUUGUGCAUGUGUGCACACUUAUGUAUGUAUGCAUGUGCAUGUUUGUGUGUGCGUGCGUAUGCCUGUGUGUGCAUAUUGUAUUUGAUAAUGGAGAGCAAGCCCUCAAUAACUUGUGACCAGUAUCAUUAUUUUAAGCAGAUAGAGUCUCUGCCCUGUAGAAAUGUGUGCUUUGAGCCAGCUAAUAUUUGCUCUGAUUCUUUAUUGAGUUUCUAAAUGGCAGGGAUGUGGCAGAGUCAGCUUUGUGGCUGAAGUGAUCUAAGGCUUUGCUACUCCAAGACUUAACUGUCUGGCAGCAUCAGCAUCAGCUCCAUGUGGGAGGUCAGAGGUAUUCAGACUCUUAGGCAUAUCUCACUACUAUGAAUUGAAACCUGUACUCACAGGACUUCCAGUAAUUCAUAUCUACACCAAGGGCAUUGGCAGAAGAUGCAUAGCUGAGUCCCAUAUCCUCAAACUGUAAUGAGGAAGCUUCUAAAUUCAUAGCUCAGUGAGAAAGCAUAUUUUCAGAAUUUUUUUUUUGACAUGUACCACACAAUGUGCUGAGGGAUGUGUGGACUCUCCUCCUCCAUCAGCUGAAGGUGGUCUCUGCUGGAUGUACUGUGCUUCUUGUCUUACUUAGGGUUCCUUUUGCUACAGUGAAACCCCAUGUGCAAGAAGCAAGCUGGGGAGGAAAGGGUUUAUUCAGCUUCUACUUCCACAUUGCUGUUCAUCACUAAAGAAAGUCAGGACAGGAACUCAAACAGGGCAGGAGCCUAGAAACAGGAGCUGAUGCAGAGGCCAUGGAGGGGUGCUGCUUACUGGCUUGCUUCCCCUGCCUUGCUCAGCUUGCUUUCUUAUAGGACCCAGGACUACCAGCCCGGAGAUGGUACCAUCCUUAAUGGGCUGGACCCUCCCCAUCCAUCACUAAUUGAGACAAUGCCUUACAGCUGGAUCUCAUGGAGGUAUUUCCUCAACUGAGGCUUCUUCCUCUCUGAUGACUCUAGCUUAUAUCAACUUGACACAAAACCAGCUAGUACACUUACUAUCAAUCCGACAAGGAUAGGAUGACUGGUGCUCUAUCUUGGAUCUCCUGCCUAAUGACUUCUGGUGGCUUGUUGCCUGGUAUAUGGAGGAGACUGAUGAGUCAAAGCAUGCAGGGAAGAGAAGGGAGCCGGUGUCUGGUGCUGGUGGUAUCUGCAGUGUUGACCUGUGGCCUCCAUAGAGCACAGUGCAAUGGUUGCCAUGGGAACUGCUGUGCUUGGUCAGGGGUGACUAGAGGAGCUAUAGGAAUUGUCUGCUCCUCUCCAGUGUCCUCUGGUAGCGGAGGAGGAGUACAGCCUCAUUCUCCUGGGGAUUCACUGGGAAGCCAAAGUGAGCUUUACUCAUUCUGUCCUUUCUUUGGGUUCUG